GAUGAAGAACGCAGCGAAAUGCGAUACGUAAUGUGAAUUGCAGAAUUCAGUGAAUCAUCGAGUCUUUGAACGCACAUUGCGCCCCCUGGUAUUCCGGGGGGCAUGCCUGUCCGAGCGUCAUUGCUGCCCUCAAGCACGGCUUGUGUGUUGGGCUCCGUCCCCCCGGGGACGGGCCCGAAAGGCAGCGGCGGCACCGAGUCCGGUCCUCGAGCGUAUGGGGCUUUGUCACCCGCUCUGUAGGCCCGGCCGGCGCCAGCCGACAACACAUCAUCCUUUUCAGGUUGACCUCGGAUCAGGUAGGGAUACCCGCUGAACUUAAGCAUAUCAAUAAGCGGAGGA
rnacentral:misc_RNA from 1 species